rnacentral:lncRNA from 1 species
CAGCCCUGGCCAAGGGGAAAAUGCCGGAAGACUCCAGGGUGGGAGGAAGCGCGUCCCAAGGCCCAGGAUCUGCGAGGCGACUUGGGGAAAACGCAGGCAGGACCUGCUGAAGCUCACACCCGUGGACCACCCAGACUGCCUGCCGCUACAGGAUGCCCUCCGCAUCUCCCAGGACUUCUUUCCGGCAUCAGUGUGGACAUUGACCCCACUGGACUGCAGUCACAGUGGACUCCCAAGGGGCAGGAUCCACCUCUGAUGUUCAGUGAAGACUACCAGAAAAGUCUGCUAGAGCAGUACCAUCUGGGUCUGGAUCAAAAACUCAGAAAAUACGUGGUUGGAGAGCUCAUCUGGAAUUUUGCCGAUUUCAUGACUAACCAGUGUGGUUGAGGAGUGGGCCCAGGGCACCUUCAAACUCAACCCCAAUGAUGAGGACAUCCACACAGCCAACAAGUGCCACCUGAAGGUA